rnacentral:sRNA from 1 species
GCCAAAAUUCUUGGAAGGCUGGUUGUUUGCUUAUUUGGUAGCAUGUAAAUUUCGUGGAUGCGUCGGUUUUCAUUUUCAAUAUGAGAGGAAACUCUAAAUUGGUUUUUGUCGAGGAUGUAAGUUCGUGGGUGAGAGCUACCCACGAAUACCACGAAAAUUGAGCCUCUACGAAUUCUAAUAAUUCCACAGUAUUUGAUUUUAAAGUUAAUAGGGGAAAGAUUAAUUGUGAUAUUUUCACAUACAGUGCUUUACUAUUGGACCCUUAAAUCUGACUAAAAAAGCUAAGGUUAUGAUACCCAGAUUUUUGAUGUGUUAAAUUAGUCAAAUACUUAUGGUAUUUAUUUACAGUAAAUCCUGUUAAAUACGAGAAUUUCAUCCUGCAAUGUACAAUCAUGAUUAUCAAUUCUUGUGUUAUAUAUAUUUCAAUGUGUUUUACAUGUAUAUGAAAACAUUUAUAUGUAUUCCAUAAGUUUGCUUUUAAUUAAUUGUUUUAUAUUUAACAUUAUUUUAAUUUUUGUUUCAUUUACUGAUUGAUGAGUAUUACAUCAAUCACUUAGAAAAAAGCUGUUCUUUUAAAUGCAACUUUGUGUAUGUGAUAUACAUGUAUAUUAAAAUAAAUAAUAUACUAAUGAC